rnacentral:rRNA from 1 species
UACUUGUACCCAAAUAAGGUUCGCCGAGAGGGUCGUAUAGGGAAGGUGGAGGAGAGAAGAGGGCUAAGUUGGGAGCAGAGGGAGGGUAGGGUGCGGCGGCGGCGGCGGCGGCGGGUGGUGGGGCCGCUGGAGGGGUGGCCGCUAGGGGUCGGAGAGGGAGAGGAAGAGGGGACGUAGGCAGCGGGCGUGGAAGGGAGGGUCAGGGUCUAGUGGGUGAGCGACAGCGACCAGUGGGUGAGCGACCUGCGAGGAUCCGAGGAUCCAGUGGGUGAGGGGGUGGGUCGCGGCGGCGCCUCUCCCUUAACCCGCUACCGCUACAGCUACAGCCGCCGGUGGGCGCGCUACGCCGCGUAGGUGCGCGCGGCGUGGAGGCGGAGGACGGAGGAGGCGAGGCGGGCGGGCCUGGGGUUGGGCCGCCACGACGUCCCGGUUCGCGGGCACGGGGCGACCAUGACCCCUCGGCGGCGCCCGCGGCUAGGCGGCAGCUGGGUUCGCGUGGAACCGCACCGGUGUCACGGCGUCGCUGUCCACAAGCACCAGCUCGCUAAGACGGUCAUGGUGUUCUAGGACGGGUGAUCCCAAGUGAAGGAGCACGGACACGAAAAGAACACAAUGAUCACAGGCCGGUCUUAAUCAUUCCACACUAGUUGCACCGGAUAUUAAUCUAAUAAUCCUUUUUAUGAUUGAACUCAGGCUGAUCCUGAACAGGAUCGAUAGAUCGACGCAACCAUCCUCAUAUUAUGGUCCUAAUCCUUAAACAUCAGGUUCAGCCAAUUAUCCACUCAGACUAAACUGAUCGGACAUAGGUGACCACAUCGGAUUUAAACUAUUCUACGAAAAUCCGGUAUCACAUCGGAUUUGUACGAGGACGAACGAGAACGAUUUGUAAUAUAUAAAAGCCUACUUAAUACUAAUUUUAAACAACGAAAAUGUGUCAAACCCCGACGAGCUCACCUACGCACGAUUUAGCAUUUUCUUUUCUUCACUUAUUGACUUAUACUAUCAUCCACAACUUGAAACGAAAUAGGUUACCGCACACUCAACACAGUUUGUUCAUAUAAUAUCGAUCGGGAAUAUAUAUCUAUAAGGUACAAUAAUGGUGAGAGGUCGAAACAAGAUGUUAGAUUGUAGAUUAUUAAAGUAGUACAUCUACUUUGGUAGCCUCCAGUUCUACUUUUAACUGUACAGGCGCUGCACAGGAGGUAGUCGAUACGCCCGUGUACGUCUGUGUCCCGUGUACGUCUGUGUCCCGAACGUUCCGACUCGUGGUCCGCUUAUGACCGUCCCUUGAUCUACCGCUGAUCGUCCCGUGCUGUCACGUCGCUGGCCGACGUCCCCUCAUCACGUUGUUCGCUUCCAUGUUACCGUCCAACACCACUGCCGGUUGGCGUCCACUGACUGCUACGAUCUUUAUCCGUGUUGUUACAGUCCAACAACGUAUUAGCUCAUUGUAUGUUGAUUUAUUAAAACAAAGGGAAAAUAGAGUCGCAAACAUACAUCGAAACGCAAUUUCGUUCGUUUAUAUCAUUUACUUUUUUUUUGACACAAAGUCGCCGUGGUUUUAUUUAGACGACAAAUGUAAUUUUUUUACGCUAGCCUCAACCAUCAAGAAGAAUACUACGGGUUUAACAAUACGUCACAUUACGUUACCCUGGUAUUCUUUGUAGGUUCGAUUUCUCGAAAUAUAUAACACUAGCCAAUCAGAAUCAAGAAAGACUUCAAGAACUAAAAAGAACUUGACUUAUAUAGUGGAACAGAAACAAACAAUGUCAUGUCACUUCAACCGUUGUUUGAUGAUUCAGAAGAAGCCUAUACAAAAAUUAUAUUUCUCUCCUUAGUUCCGGUUAAUAAGUACCACCAUCUAUUCAUAAAGACAUCGAUUUCUGAUCUCUUGACGUUAUAUCAGCGUGGCCAUGAAUAAGUCUAAUUUUGUAGUACUAAAGAACCGAGGUCAAAUGAUAUAAUAAAUGGUUAUCAAUCAUACUGAUGAAGUAAAGUGUUAAUUUAUCACCUGUCUUCGAAAAUAUAUUUAAUUUAUUGUGUACGUGCGACGGUCUAUUGACGUCAUCACAGUUGAAUUAAACCUACCUAAACUUUCCUUUUUGAAGUAAGUCCAUUGAUAUUAUAACAGAUAUUAGUACCUAUAAUUAAAAACAACCCGCAUACCAGGAAGAAUUCAUCAUGUACCACGGUUAUUUUGAAAUAAAACUCGAAGCUGAUUUCUAGAUCAGUACAGAUUAUCUCAAGUGUUAGAAAUGAAACUUCUAGACAUCGAUCUGCAAUCUUGACAACUGUACGUUUAUUAAUUGAUUGACGUACAGCAUGAACUUAAUGUCCAAAAAACAAAAGUAGUGAGGAAACAAUAUACCUUCUUCUGAAGUACUGAAACACUUCGGUGUACUCGAUCCCCAACGUGGCGUCCUCGUAUCGCACAUGUUCAUGACUUGUAACUUCUAACGUAACGUCGAGUAGUCAUCUUCUAUCGCUGUCUCACGACGUCCUAUUACUCUACAACUUCGCCGUAUGACUUAGGUACUGUGGCUUCACGUUAACGCCGUCUAAUAGAGAUAGAAAAGAAAAGUAAAAAGAAUAAUAGCUCACUCUUGUCUUACUCCUUGACACACUAUCAUGUAUGUUGUUGACAUCAUUUUUCUUUGAAUACAAACGUUAACAAUUACUGUAUCUAUGAACGUACAAGAAACUUC